AGGGAAGGCGGGGGGCAUGCCUUACACAUGCAAGUCGAACGGCAGCAUGAUCUAGCUUGCUAGAUUGAUGGCGAGUGGCGAACGGGUGAGUAAUACAUCGGAACGUGCCCUGUAGUGGGGGAUAACUAGUCGAAAGAUUAGCUAAUACCGCAUACGACCUGAGGGUGAAAGUGGGGGACCGCAAGGCCUCAUGCUAUAGGAGCGGCCGAUGUCUGAUUAGCUAGUUGGCGAGGUAAAGGCUCACCAAGGCGACGAUCAGUAGCUGGUCUGAGAGGACGAUCAGCCACACUGGGACUGAGACACGGCCCAGACUCCUACGGGAGGCAGCAGUGGGGAAUUUUGGACAAUGGGCGAAAGCCUGAUCCAGCAAUGCCGCGUGUGUGAAGAAGGCCUUCGGGUUGUAAAGCACUUUUGUCCGGAAAGAAAUGGCUCUGGUUAAUACCUGGGGUCGAUGACGGUACCGGAAGAAUAAGGACCGGCUAACUACGUG
rnacentral:rRNA from 1 species